rfam:Streptomyces griseus subsp. griseus NBRC 13350 DNA, complete genome.
CGCCCGGCCGGAUCCCGUGGGGGGAAUCCGCUCCGGGAUAUGGGAAACGCCCUGACCGUCGAC